rnacentral:rRNA from 1 species
AUGAACGCUGGCGGCGUGCCUAAUACAUGCAAGUCGAGCGCACGGACGAGAAGCUUGCUUCUCUGAUGUUAGCGGCGGACGGGUGAGUAACACGUGGAUAACCUACCUAUAAGACUGGGAUAACUUCGGGAAACCGGAGCUAAUACCGGAUAAUAUUUUGAACCGCAUGGUUCAAAAGUAAAAGACGGUCUUGCUGUCACUUAUAGAUGGAUCCGCGCUGCAUUAGCUAGUUGGUAAGGUAACGGCUUACCAAGGCAACGAUGCAUAGCCGACCUGAGAGGGUGAUCGGCCACACUGGAACUGAGACACGGUCCAGACUCCGACGGGAGGCAGCAGUAGGGAAUCUUCCGCAAUGGGCGAAAGCCUGACGGAGCAACGCCGCGUGAGUGAUGAAGGUCUUCGGAUCGUAAAACUCUGUUAUUAGGGAAGAACAUAUGUGUAAGUAACUGUGCACAUCUUGACGGUACCUAAUCAGAAAGCCACGGCGAACUACGU